AGUGAACGCUGGCGGUAGGCCUAACACAUGCAAGUCGAACGGCAGCACAGUAAGAGCUUGCUCUUACGGGUGGCGAGUGGCGGACGGGUGAGGAAUACAUCGGAAUCUACUUUUUCGUGGGGGAUAACGUAGGGAAACUUACGCUAAUACCGCAUACGACCUACGGGUGAAAGCAGGGGAUCUUCUGACCUUGCGCGAUUGAAUGAGCCGAUGUCGGAUUAGCUAGUUGGCGGGGUAAAGGCCCACCAAGGCGACGAUCCGCAGCUGGUCUGAGAGGAUGAUCAGCCACACUGGAACUGAGACACGGUCCAGGCUCCUACGGGAGGCAGCAGUGGGGAAUAUUGGACAAUGGGCGCAAGCCUGAUCCAGCCAUACCGCGUGGGUGAAGAAGGCCUUCGGGUUGUAAAGCCCUUUUGUUGGGAAAGAAAAGCAGCAGGUUAAUACCCCGCUGUUCUGACGGUACCCAAAGAAUAAGCACCGGCUAACUUCGUG
rnacentral:rRNA from 1 species